CCUACGGGAGGCAGCAGUGAGGAAUAUUGGUCAAUGGACGAGAGUCUGAACCAGCCAAGUAGCGUGAAGGAUGACUGCCCUAUGGGUUGUAAACUUCUUUUAUAAAGGAAUAAAACGAGGCACGUGUGCCUUUUUGCAUGUACUUUAUGAAUAAGGAUCGGCUAACUCCGUGCCAGCAGCCGCGGUAAUACGGAGGAUCCGAGCGUUAUCCGGAUUUAUUGGGUUUAAAGGGAGCGUAGAUGGGUUGUUAAGUCAGUUGUGAAAGUUUGCGGCUCAACCGUGAAAUUGCAAUUGAUACUGGAAGUCUUGAGUACAGUUGAGGUAUGCGGAAUGCGAGGUGUAGCGGUGAAAUGCAUAGAGAUCAGGAGGAACACCGAUGGCGAAGGCGGCAUUCCGGCGCCCAACUGACGCUGAUGUGCGAAAGCGUGGGUAUCGAACAGGAUUAGAUACCCCAGUAGUC
rnacentral:rRNA from 1 species